rnacentral:rRNA from 1 species
UACGGGGGGGGCAAGCGUUGUUCAGAAUUACUGGGCGUAAAGGGCUCGUAGGCGGCCAACUAAGUCAGACGUGAAAUCCCUCGGCUUAACCGGGGAACUGCGUCUGAUACUGGAUGGCUUGAGUUUGGGAGAGGGAUGCGGAAUUCCAGGUGUAGCGGUGAAAUGCGUAGAUAUCUGGAGGAACACCGGUGGCGAAGGCGGCAUCCUGGACCAACACUGACGCUGAUGAGCGAAAGCCAGGGGAGCAAACGGG